rnacentral:rRNA from 1 species
AAAACGACUCUCGGCAACGGAUAUCUCGGCUCUCGCAUCGAUGAAGAACAUAGCGAAAUGCGAUACUUGGUGUGAAUUGCAGAAUCUCGUGAACCAUCGAGUUUUUGAACACAAGUUGCAAGGGCAUGCUUGCUUGGGCGUCACACGCUGUUGCCCCCCCGCGCC